AUGUAACAAUAGGUAGGUACUGUGUAAAAUUGACAAAAUAAAUAAAGGUUGCAUUAGUUUUGAGUUUUGCCAAUAAAAAAGUUCAUGAAUGACAGUUUUGACAAAGCCAAAGUACCAAUUUGAUUGUAACCAAAAAUAUUGAAGCAAAAUCCUCGAAAUAUCAAUAAAUUAAUAGCAAACUUAUCUGAAAAUGGCUGGAGCUGCGCGCGAAACCGUACGUGCUGCAUGCAGGGAAGUGAGGCCAAUCAUGUCGACCGAUUUUUGGGAAGCUCGCAGACGAGUCCUUGGACUAUACAAAGCGUUUUAUCGCUAUGUUCCAUACAUAAUCAAGUACUUCGACGUCCCCAAAACGGAGCAGGACUGUCGUUGCAAAAUCCGAGAGUACUUUUAUAAGAACGCCUGCGUGACGGACAUUCGUGUCAUUGACAUUUUGGUGCUUAAGGGUUACAUGGAACUAAAAGAAAUAACUCAUUCGUGGGCACAGAAAGGUCACAUAAUGGCAUAUUGGCAGCCAACGUUGGAGCCGAAGCCGUGCGAUUUCAUUGGCAAGUUCUUGAAUGGAGUGGAUUAAUAAUAAUAAUUUUGAAUUUAUUAAUAUAAAAUCUUUUGACACUGAUUAUUAGGU